rnacentral:rRNA from 1 species
GACGAACGCUGGCGGCGUGCUUAACACAUGCAAGUCGAACGAAGCUUGAUUACGGAUUCUUCGGAUGAAGUAUGAUAUGACUGAGUGGCGGACGGGUGAGUAACGCGUGAGUAACCUGCCCUUCAGAGGGGGAUAGCGUUUGGAAACGAACGGUAAUACCGCAUAAUGUAUUUUGACCGCAUGAUUGAAAUACCAAAGAUUUAUCGCUGAAGGAUGGACUCGCGUCUGAUUAGGUAGUUGGUGGGGUAACGGCCUACCAAGCCGACGAUCAGUAGCCGGACUGAGAGGUUGAUCGGCCACAUUGGGACUGAGACACGGCCCAGACUCCUACGGGAGGCAGCAGUGGGGAAUAUUGCACAAUGGGCGCAAGCCUGAUGCAGCAACGCCGCGUGAAGGAAGACGGUUUUCGGAUUGUAAACUUCUGUUCUUAGUGAAGAAUAAUGACGGUAGCUAAGGAGCAAGCCACGGCUAACUACGUG